AGUGUUCUUAAAUCCUAUAUGAAGGACAAACAUUCAGACCCCAGGAGCACUGUUCUGAAAUCCUAUGAUAAGGGCAAACAUUCAGACCCCAACAUGAAUGUUCUGGAAUCCUAUGUGAGGGACAAGCAUUGAGACCAUAGCAGGAGUAUUCUGGAAUCCUAUGUGAGGGACAAACAUUCAGACCCUCGUAGCAGUGUUCUGGAAUCCUAUGUGAGGGAGAAGCAUUCAGAGCACAGCAGGAGUGCUCUG
rnacentral:lncRNA from 1 species